GUGAUUUUAGAAUGGAAAUGGAGCCAAUCGAGGUAGAGGUCGAGCGUGCGCUCAUGGAGGAAGAGGAGGCAUUAUACACAGCGGUAGAAGAUGUUCUUCAAAGCAUCCCAAUCCCAAUUCCUGUGAAGAAAAAGAAGAAAAGAAAGGCAGCAACCUUUACAAUAAGGAGUAGAAAUGAGUAUGGACACCUUAUACCAAAGCGUGUCAGAAAGGUGUCCUCAGCUAUUCCAAAAUCCAGUGCACGGCACCAUUCCCG